rnacentral:rRNA from 1 species
CGAGCGGUAAGGCCCUUCGGGGUACACGAGCGGCGAACGGGUGAGUAACACGUGAGCAAUCUGCCCUUCUCUUCGGAAUAAGCGUUGGAAACGACGUCUAAUGCCGAAUACGACCUUCUUUCGCAUGAUCGAAGGUGGAAAGCUCCGGCGGAGAAGGAUGAGCUCGCGGCCUAUCAGCUUGUUGGUGAGGUAAUGGCUCACCAAGGCAUUGACGGGUAGCCGGCCUGAGAGGGUGACCGGCCACACUGGGACUGAGACACGGCCCAGACUCC